rnacentral:lncRNA from 1 species
GGGUGUCUAAACAUUUAUUAAAAAUGAUAUUGCAACUAUUUGAAUAAAAUAAAAAUAUUCAAUAAAAUAUUCUAAUUUCUUGUAAAACAAUAUUUAUAGAAUCAUCGGUAAAUAAUUUUUAUAAUGUAAAAGCUAAAUAAAUUCAUACGUACUAUAAUAUAGAUAACCGAGAUAUGAAAUUUACUGUACAGUGACUCGUGGGCCCACAAGGAGAAAAAGUGCACAAAGGCAGCAAAUCUACAGUUUUUGGAGUAGUAAAGCCGACUAUAAUCCCUAAUGAUAUAUGCUAUCCACAAGCUACCUCGAGCCUGAAAUGGUUAAAAAGGAAGGUGGUGAGAUUAUAAAAUCCCAGUGAGUAAACAGAUACCAUCUAAACCAUCUAAAAUCGAGUAAAUGGAGACAGAUAAAAUAAUUUGGCAUACUAAAAUUCAUCACCUUUCAACUUGUUUCAAUUAAAUUAAUUCAUAUAAAUAGAACAAUUUACAUGGCUUAUGAAUUUCUUAAAACUUGGCUCAUGCCAAAAAUUAUUCUCAUACUUAGUUAUCAAGGAUACCUUGGCCGAGGACUAUCCCAAACUGAGUCCGCCAAGGCUAUUAAAAAGCUAUAUACUCAUAAAUCAUGUUUUUAUUUAGAAAAUAUAGUUGUUCCUUGGCGUUGGCUGAGUUCGCCCUCACGUGGUGGUUUGCCGUGAAGUGAACUCUAAAAGUUAUACCUCGAGAGUUACCCUACUCGCCUCUCCAACUGAGGUAAAAUAUGUCAGGAUUCUGUGCCCCUCUAAUAGGCUAGUCCACACAACCCAGCCCACUGCAGCAAGCAAUACCCACCAUACAAUAAAAUUUUUGACAGCAUGACAAGGUUAAUUUAAUACUACCCAGCCUGCAAAUAUAAAAUAGAACAAUUCAUACAGUUCACCAAAAACACAACCCAGCCAGUCAUGCCAACACAUUAACAUAAGUCAUCAAUUCAGAUCAUAAAUUUACAACACAUCAGGGGUCUCCAAUUACUCUAUUUUCAAAAUCAUCAUUCAAUUUCAAGACAAUUUAUAAAAUCUUUUCAUUUAAACACAUUUUGUUUAUAAACAUAAAGGUUUACCAUUUAAACCCAUUUUUCAUAAAAUCAUAAAAUCGGAUAAACACCACUUUAGAUAAUUAAGACGAUAGUAAGGUUACUCACUAUACUAGGAGUUAGAUAUACUCCUAUUUUCGAGUCUUCGGGCACAAUCUCUUUACCCUUAUUAGAGGGCUCACCACUUAUACAUCAUACGUGACACGAAUUUCAAUAAAUUGUGUCAAUUUAUCAUAAACUAUUUUGGGCUCUAUAAAUCUAUAUGAAUGCACGAAAUGUGAUACAAAAUGUCCAAAUAGCCGUUUAAAUACGGUAUUCGACCUAAUUCGCACUAUUCUCAAUGUAAUUGGCUAAAACCUCCAAUUUAACUCCAAAUCAAUUUCUUUCACUUUCUACACUCCAAUUGUACUUAAAAUACCUCAAUGACUGUGAAUAUGAUUCAAUUUAUCAGUCAGAACCAUAAAUCGCACAUGUCUAUACAUUAGGUAAAAAUUCAUAUUUUCAUGCCAAAGUUUCCCAUUAAAUUUCUAGCCUCACCAAUCAUUAAAUACCACCAAAAUAUCAUGAAAUAUUAUCAAUUUCAGCCUUAAUAUCCUCCCUAGAAAAUUCGGCCUCUUAUGGGUAAUGGGAGAAAAUGAAUUUUUCUUGUUGGCUUUUCUUGCUACAUAUCACUAACUAACUAAAAACACUAGAAUAUCUUAAAAUCUAACCAAAACAUCAUCAAAUUCUCUCUCCUAGGUGUUCGGGCAGCAAGAGGUUCAUCAUAAAAACUUGAUUUCUAAGCAUGGAAAAUGGAAAAGAAAGCAUGGGUAGUGUAAAUCACAAGUCAAAAUCAAGAAAUUUUACCUUUAUUAGCUUAAUCCCUUGAAAUCCCAUACUUUUUCUUCAAUUUUUCCACCUAAGAUUUGUGUUCUUUCCUUUCCUCUUCACUUCAUGCUUUGGCCGGCCAUAUGGG